rnacentral:rRNA from 1 species
UACGUAGGGGGCAAGCGUUGUCCGGAUUUAUUGGGCGUAAAGAGCGUGUAGGCGGCCAGGUAGGUCUGGUGUGAAACUCGAGGCUCAACCUCGAGAGGUCAUCGGAAACCAUCUGGCUAGAGUCCGGAAGAGGAGAGUGGAAUUCCCGGUGUAGCGGUGAAAUGCGCAGAUAUCGGGAAGAACACCUAUGGCGAAGGCAGCUCUCUGGGACGGUACUGACGCUGAGACGCGAAAGCGUGGGGAGCGAACAGG